rnacentral:rRNA from 1 species
CGCGUGGUACACUUGUGGGGCAUCCCACGGGUGUUAAAAGGAAGUGAUUCCGGCGGAGGAUGGGCAUGCGGCGCAUUAGCUGGUUGGCGGGGUAACGGCCCACCAAGGCGACGAUGCGUAGGGGUUCUGAGAGGAAGGUCCCCCACACUGGUACUGAGACACGGACCAGACUCCUACGGGAGGCAGCAGUGAGGAAUAUUGGUCAAUGGGCGGGAGCCUGAACCAGCCAAGUCGCGUGAGGGAAGACGGUCCUAUGGAUUGUAAACCUCUUUAGGCGGGGAGCAAUGCCGGGCACGCGUGCCCGGAGGGAGAGUACCCGCAGAAUAAGCAUCGGCUAACUCCGUGCCAGCAGCCGCGGUAAUACGGAGGAUGCGAGCGUUAUCCGGAUUUAUUGGGUUUAAAGGGUGCGUAGGCGGAUUUUUAAGUCAGCGGUAAAAUGUCCGGGCUCAACCCGGGCCGGCCGUUGAAACUGGGGAUCUUGAGUGGGCGAGAAGUAUGCGGAAUGCGUGGUGUAGCGGUGAAAUGCAUAGAUAUCACGCAGAACUCCGAUUGCGAAGGCAGCAUACCGGCGCCCGACUGACGCUGAGGCACGAAAGCGCGGGGAUCGAACAGGAUUAGAUACCCUGGUAGUCCACGCAGUAAACGAUGAAUGC